ACACACUGUAUUUCUCUAUGAAGAACCUAGAAUGUAUGUGUGUGUGGUGUGUGUACGUAGGUGCACACAGGUGAUAGAACCAAAAAGGGAUGAGACAGGACGAGGUUUUUUUUUUUAAGGAAAAAAAAGAACAAAUGAGGGUGAUGGGAUGCACAUGCUAAGAAAGCAGAGGGAACAUGGCUUUUGGGGAGGGGGCCAGAUGAGAACCAAUACAGGGAUACUAUGUAUUUGAAAGGGCAUAAGGGAAUCCAUUACUUUUGUAUGCUAACCUAAAAACUAAAAUAACAUCAAGAGUUCCCCCAGUGAAAUUACACCUCCAGCCCAGAAACCAAUUAGGCAGGAAUUAGAGCUUCAAGUCAGGUUAUAACUGCUAGGCAUGAAGGGACAAUGCUGCUCAGAGAAGGGGGUGAGUGUAUAGCGAUCUGCCUAGGUACCCAUUAGAUUUGUACGAUGCAUUCAAUCCUUGCCAGACACUUCAAAACAAAACUACAAAAGGACUCUGCAAACUGCACUUUGAUUUAUUAAGAGCGACAUCUAAUAACAAAAACUAUAAAGGCAACUGCAAAGAUGUCACAUUCUAUAAUCAGAUGUUUGUUUAUACUGUAGGAGUUACACUAGAGAAAUUAAGCAAAACUGUGAAAGUACAUGGAGUUGGGGGGAUGUCUCAGUGGGUAAGAAGUACCUGAGUUUGGAUCCCAGCACUCACAAAAAGCUGGGCAUGGCUGUGCCUGUCACACCAGUACUGGUGUGAAGACAGGAUCACUGGCAGCCCAUCUGGCCUACAAGGAGCUCUGGUUCAGUGAAGAGAGGCCUUGUCUCAAGGAAAUAAGGCAGAAGGUGGUAGAAGACAUCUUACUCAGUCUCUGCACAGACACCCACAUACCACAUUCCACACAAGCAAAGUGCAGACCAGCAGGUUUCAUGUUACCAAUGUGUAUUUAUUUACUGAAUGUUUGUUUUUGAAACAGGACAUCACCGCAGCUUAGACUGGUCUAGAACUCACUAACUAGUCUAGGUCUUGAACUCAUGUUUUCCUCUGCCUCUGCCUUCUUGAUGUUGGUAUUACAAAUGUGAGCUCAGGUCUUGUGUCUUAAAGGAGAGAAGCAAUCCGUCUGCCUCUGACUCCUGAGUGCUGGGAUUAAAGGUGUGCGCUACCUAUCCCUGUGAGCUAUUUAAGAAAAUAGAAAAUGUCAAUGUACAAGAAUGAUGAAAUGUUUUUAUUUUCUACUGUACUGAAAACAAUAAAAUGUAAAUCAGG
rnacentral:lncRNA from 1 species